UUAUGGCAUUAGCCAAUCAGAACUCUUGUUAUAUUUGCCAUUUGGUGCAAAACUGGUUUGUUUGGAAAAAAUGGCUGCCGCCAUGAUGGUGCCUUUUACACAUCUUCUGCAAGUUUAUGUGACGACCUGUUUAAAGUUUAACAUUGACACGCGGUGGACUUCAAUAUGUAUGAUCUACUUAUGCUGCCACAAUGUAAAGGCAACAAUCACUGGGUUUUGCUGGUUGCAAGUGUUAUGUCCAGGACUGUAACCAUUUAUGACUCGUUGGGUGGUAACAACAAGGCCUUGUUCGAUUUGUUCUGCCAGUUCAUGUGUCAACGAGCGCAAAUUGUGAAAGAUGGCUUGGAAAAAAUCAGUUCAGAGUUCAAAGCGCCACCUUGCAACAAACAGCGCCACGGAAACAGCUGUGGAGUGUUUGCAUUGAUGACUGCCAAAUGUUUGGUCAUGAAAAAGCAUCCCACAAUGUUGUGACAGGCCCAUGAUUCAGUUUAUCGAGACUAGUUGUGAGAAGCAGACUUCUGAUUCCUGGAGUGCGGCAAACAUAUCUGUGCGACUCGAUCACUCCACUGUAAAGACCCGCACGGCAUUAAAAUGGAUAUUAUCAAUAUGUGUUGUUGCUCGAAAAUAUGUUUGUGUAGCAGGAAGUGCUUUGGGCUCGAUUAAUCUGAGAACUCAACAAAAUAUUAAUAAAAUCCUUCUGUGCCUUUUAGUUCUGAAAACAGAA